UCAUUGGCCCAGAGAUCUGCUUCUUCAAAACGCAGAAUUCAACUCAUUUUCUACAUUUCUUUACCUAUGUUUGUCAUUAUUGCUGCUGUUUUAAUAAAGCAGGAUAAAAUAAGAGAUCUAUGCUACAGAGGUGAAACCGGAAGUGAAAGGUCUGUGUCAGUAGAAGACAGCAUUAACAGCAAAUUGUCCUCAACUGUAAGCAACAGUCUCUAACAACUUUGGCCUGAAGAGAGGAUAAAUCCAAAUAAAUCAUCAGAAACUGGCCUAAACCAAGAAGAGA